AAAAAAACACAGAGGAGAAAAUUCCAGAAAGACCUGUUACCUUCUCACCAGAAGUAUGGCCUAUAGCGAGAAGGACGGAAGUGUACUAGAACACUAAAAUCAAAAGACGAAGACAGGUGUAGGAACAACAAGAAAGUGUAUUAGUUUAACGCUCGAAUACAGAGAAUGGCUUAAGACAAAAUUCUUAUUUCAAAGUACCAACUUUCAAGAUAGAAAGAAAAAGAAAAUACACCAACCUACAAAUAGAAGUAUAAGAAAGUAUAAGAAAGUAUAUUAUU